UAAAUUUGAGAGUUUGAUCCUAGCUCAGAAUGAACGCUGGCGGCAGGCCUAACACAUGCAAGUCGAACGGAGUUAUAUUGUAGCUUGCUAUGGUAUAACUUAGUGGCAGACGGGUGAGUAAUGUAUAGGAAUCUACCUAGUAGUACGGAAUAAUUGUUGGAAACGGCAACUAAUACCGUAUACGCCCUACGGGGGAAAAAUUUAUUGCUAUUAGAUGAGCCUAUAUUAGAUUAGCUAGUUGGUGGAGUAAUAGCCUACCAAGGCAAUGAUCUAUAGCUGAUCUGAGAGGAUGAUCAGCCACACUGGAACUGAGAUACGGUCCAGACUCCUACGGGAGGCAGCAGUGGGGAAUAUUGGACA
rnacentral:rRNA from 1 species